AUUAGACAAUAUUCACUACACGGUAAAGAAACUGAAUUUCAAAAUGUAAACUAAAAGUAGCUACAUAUAGACUGAACUGAAGUUGCUUGCCAAAUCGGCUAUUUUGGUAAUAUUUUUCAAUUCCAGGCUAGAAAAUAAACCCCAUUGUGUCGAAGUUUGAGUAAAUAAUUUGUGACAAGAGAAAGGGGUAUUUUGGAUCAGUAUGUAAUAUAAUUUACAGCGACAGUUCAGUCUCCC